CCUACGGGAGGCUGCAGUGGGGAAUAUUGGACAAUGGGCGAAAGCCUGAUCCAGCCAUGCCGCGUGUGUGAAGAAGGCCUUCGGGUUGUAAAGCACUUUCAGUGGGGAAGAAAGCCUUGGGGCUAAUACCCUCGAGGAAGGACAUCACCCACAGAAGAAGCACCGGCUAACUCCGUGCCAGCAGCCGCGGUAAUACGGAGGGUGCGAGCGUUAAUCGGAAUUACUGGGCGUAAAGCGCGCGUAGGCGGUCUGAUAAGCCGGUUGUGAAAGCCCCGGGCUCAACCUGGGAACGGCAUCCGGAACUGUCAGGCUAGAGUGCAGGAGAGGAAGGUAGAAUUCCCGGUGUAGCGGUGAAAUGCGUAGAGAUCGGGAGGAAUACCAGUGGCGAAGGCGGCCUUCUGGACUGACACUGACGCUGAGGUGCGAAAGCGUGGGUAGCAAACAGGAUUAGAUACCCUGGUAGC
rnacentral:rRNA from 1 species